UUUCUUCGGGGCAACGUGUGAUUCGUGACCGGUGGUAACCAGUGAGAAUUAGAAAUAUAUAGCUGGAAGCCCACGAGCUUUAAUUAGCUGAUCUGGUGAGAUUCCAGAGCCGACAGUAUAGUCUGGAUGGAAGAGGAA
rnacentral:ncRNA from 1 species